UACAGAGGGUGCGAGCGUUGUUCGGAAUUAUUGGGCGUAAAGGGCGCGUAGGCGGUGCGGUAAGUCACCUGUGAAAUCUCCUGGCUCAACUGGGAGCUUGCAGGCGAAACUGCCGUGCUGGAGUGUGGGAGAGGUGCGUGGAAUUCCCGGUGUAGCGGUGAAAUGCGUAGAUAUCAUCUGGAACGCCAAAGGUGAAAACAGACUGCUGGGAGUGUGCUGACGCUGAGACACGAAAGCUAGGGGAGCGAACGGG
rnacentral:rRNA from 1 species